rnacentral:lncRNA from 1 species
AGUGGCUGUAUUACAUUUUAUCCUACGGAUGUGCUCUCAUUUAUAAUCUAAACCACUUUUAUUGAACACAUCAGUUAUUCUGAAAUUUUCAGUGUUAUGAUGGAUGUUGCAGUAAUUAUUCUUAUAUAUGCACAGAACCCCCAGAGGACAUGACUACUGAAGGCUGUGCUGGCAGGAUCACAGGUUUCCACACUGUUAAAUUCAUUCCAAGUAUUUCAUACAUGCUGUUCCUAUUAUGAAAGGAUCUUUUUUUUCACAUGGCAUUUUCUAAGUAGUUGUUGCAUUCAUAUAGGAGAUGCUAUUGAUUUUGACACCCAUAAUUUUUCAGUGGAGACAAGGCAGAAACUACUCCAGACUCUCACCUGCUGUUGCUGAUCCUUACAUGGUGGCUGUGCCAGGCUCAGCCGCGCUGAGAUGACAGGGCUGUCUGGCCAUCAUUGGUCAUAUGGACUUCAGAUUUGAAAGGAUUUUAUGUAGAAGCAGAGUGCCUGAUAGGACUCUCCGGGACCCCCAUUUCUGCCCUGCUUGGCUCCCACUGGCAAGGCUGGCUCAGUUCCUGUCACCUUCUCCUGGACUUUGGCCAGAGUCCACUGGCUGUUUCCCCUGCCUCCUGCUCUCCCAGUGCCCUCUCCACACCAGUGCCAGAGCUGCUUCUAAGAGAUGCCUCAAAGCCCGCUUCCAGCUUAGGAACCCCAGGGAACAUGGAUGGUUUCUCCAUUGCCACUUCCUAGCCUUCCUGGCAUAGGAAGGUCUGGUUUGCCUGCAGGUCCCUCUCUGGGGGGGUCCCUGCUCCAUAGAUGCUGAGGCUCCAGAAGUCUGUUCUUUUAUAUCACAUUUGAAAACCUUUGAAAUGCAUUAUAGUUGAGUCAUAUGAAUUAUGUAAGUAUAUCCUACUCAUUGUAUAAAACAACACAGAAUUGU